CAUCAAAAUCAGAUUUACCAAGCCCAAGAAAAUUCCUCUUUAAGAAGUGAAUGGUGGGAAAAAUGAUGAGAUUAUAAAUAGCAGCUGGGGUGAGUUCAUUAAAGGAUGGCAAUACCUGAGUACCCAGAAUGCUAAAAUCACGAAGUGUAAUAAUUUCUUCCAACUAAGCCAAUUAAAGGAGGUAAAAGUUGAUUGAAAGCCACAAGGAAGGUAAAAUCAUAACUUCUUCCUGCAGUAACUAUCUAAUCAGUGCAACAAUACGUGGCAAAGUAAUAUAUACAGCUUCUCUUCUGAAAUUCCUAUAAAUUAGUAAGUUUUUCACAAACACUAUUACCCCAUAAGAGCACUGUUUUUUCAGGAAACAUUUACCUUCCUUGGUCAUUUGAUAUUUUCUCUUCCUGUGGUUCCCCAACUUAAUAAACGUGUUCCAAUUUUUCAAAACUAAAGCAGGUAAUACUAGAGAGAAAUCUCAUCCAGCACAGCAAUACGGAUACUCCCUAGAGCACGGUCAAUCACAUGCACUAAUUAACAGACUUGCUGGUACCAGCGGUACAUGGCUCCUUCCUACUACAAGAGGAUGACAUACUUUUCCAAGGCGUUUUGUUAACGUGUACUAAAACAGCUGAAGAGUUGUAAGGAUUGAAGGUUUUAACGCAGGAUCCUGGUGCCCCCAUGCUCCCAGUCCACCCCCGUCACUGCUCUACCCCUUGUUAGCACUCCUCCUCUUGACAGUUUUCCCUUUCUCACUGCUGCAACUCAAACUGGGCAAUUCUGUGUUGCUGAGGAUUGCCAAGAGCAGAAAAAGCAGCAAAUGCACACGAGGCCUCCUUGCUAAAGGAGUGCUCCUGGCUGUGAGGCAGGGCAGCUACGCCAGCAGGCAUCCAGCUGCUGAUCGGCAUCGCUGAUCCCAGCCACACCAGAGCACCAGGGGAAUCAUCCUACCAGGUAUUAGUGCGUCUUUAUUCAUUGCAGAGUUCAAGAUCUGUCAGGCACUGACACCAAGGCUAAAUGUGGGUCACAUUUCACAGGUCAUCAUGAAAUAUGAACAUGAUACCUUGAACUAAAUAUCAAAACUUGCAGUUGAAGGAAAUUACUCUCUUUUACAAAUCGCUUUCAUCUUUCCCCAGCUCCCCAGUUCAAAAUUUAGAACCUGCUGAGGUACUCUGGUUCACUGUUGAGGUAAAUGUUAGAUUAAGUGAUAGAGUUUUGUCAGACUAAAGCAAUUUUACGAAGCACAAAACGGUACUGAACAACCUUAAAGCUUUUGGUAACUGCAGCUUCAAUAACAUAACUAACAUGAUAAUUCACAUCUCAUUUUCAAAAGAGCUUUCACCAUCUGCAAUUUUCACUUGCACCAACACAGACUGGGGGAAGCACCACUGAAUAUUCCCCUGUUGUUAUAUGCAGUAAGUCUGUUGGUAAGGGACAAAAGGUUUAUAAACAAAGUUAUGACACAGAUGCCCAGAACACAUUCCAGACUACAAAAAUUGAAUGAAGAGGACACUGAAGUAUGUUUAAGUGCAAAUAAAAUUGUUUACUAUCUUGUACUAGGUUAUUGCAAUUGCAUUUAAGAGUUGUAAACACAGAAGGGCUUUAAGAGGAGGACAGCUGCCCAUUCCUACCCUAGGUCACUCAAUCCUAACGUGGAAUUAACACUCCUUACCCAAAGAAGCUGAGCUGAAACAGGUUGGUGGUGUCAACAGCAUAAAAGAUCUGGCAUAGGAAAUUAGACCUGGAGUCUUCGACUCCAGGGAUGGUACCCAAAGACAGCAGAAUGGGGAAAUGGUGAACCAAGGCAGACCAGGCUGUUCGUGGAGAGGUGCAGGGGCGGCGAGGAUCAGAAAGGGAGAAGAAAAAUACUAAAGAUUGUGAAGUCAAGGGAGGGCAAGCUGUCAAAAGAAGAGCUGACAAAAGUGGCCAAUACGACAAAAGGAGGAUGGAGCACUGGCUUUGGUUUCGCUCAGGAACAGAUCACUAGAGACAAAGCUAAAUUUCCCCAGGAUUGAGUUGCACCAGCACCAAUUGCUGCCUGUCUCUCCAGAUUAAAGUAAUGAGUGCAGUAAGGUGAUUAACAGCCAAGCUAGGUGCUGGUUUAGAAAACUAUCCUGGAAAAGAGAAGGUGUGAUUACCGGCAACUGUGUGAGUGGGUGUGCUGCUCUAUUAAGCAGGUGCUGCUCUGCUGCUGAAGAGCAUUUAUAAUGAAAACACUGGUGCUAUUAAGAGUGCAGUCUCGGGAAAAGUCAGUGGCCUAGAAAAGGAGGAUUUGGAGGAGGUGCCUAAAGGCCAAGUCAUUUUAGCUCCUCUACUGUCUAAAGAAGAAUGCAAAAAGAUUCAGAGUGCUGCUUGAGAAGGUCUAUGGAAUGAAUAAUUUCCAUGUUUCUGUUACUUAGCGGGUGAAAACAUGAAGUUGCCAUGCAUAACGUUACUCUGUAUCUUUGCCUUGCAAUAGAAUUUAACUAAGCAACCAGACUACUCAGAGAUCCUUUACUUUGAAUGAGACCAACAAGCCCGAGAAUGUUGUUUCACAACCACUCUCCUGCACAGCAAAGACCACUCAAGAUUCCUCUGUCGACCCCAUAUUCUGCUUCUUCACCCUGCUCAGUUGUGUUGGAGCAACUGCUGGUGAGCCAAUGCUGUAAGCCAGCAAUGAUACCCAGCUAGGAAGAUCUUCCUCUAAAAUUCAAGCAAAGUAACCAGCCUGAACACAUCAAGACUGUAUUCAGAGUUCAACUUCAAAAUGCAAACUGAAAAGGGGUGCAUGGUAGUAUCCUUUUUAUAAAUGGACUGAUCCAAGCGAUUCAGG